AGCCACUGUAGAGUAAGAAGAAAUCAUGAACAUAAGUUAGUUUGGAAGAAACACGUCAUCAAACAUCCACUUUGUGGCAAACUAUCUGGCUUGCCACAAAACUAAAAUGUUUCCGUCAAUAAUUUCUCCUAGGAAUUUCUUUUAGUGGUUAAAGUAAGAACAGAGAUCCAGAAAUUAAUAUGCAAUCAAUUCCACCACUAACAGUAAACAUUACACAGCACGUAUUUGAAAAAAUACAUUGUUGGUCAACAGGUGAGUCCCUAGUACAUGCUAGACACUGGGAUCAGCUCAGCAAUCACCAAAACAGAAUCAAUCCCUGACUGCUUAAGAAUUUAUAACCUGGUGAAUAUGCUCACAAAAAUAAAAGAAGUGCUAAUAAAAGUAUAGGAAAUAUGAGUAGAGAAGCAGCGGCCUGAGGUGCGGGGUCUUCUGAUGAAACUGAAGAAAGGAGGAAAAGAGACCUUUCCAAUGUCACAGAAUAAUUUUUAGGGCUGGACAAGAAUCCAAGCCUGUAACUGCAGAGACCAGAGAUCUUUCUGUUACACUCUUGGGAAGCAAAUUCUAAGAUCUUUAUGCAUUAUCUUGUGGGGGGGGGAGCGGGAAAUGCCUAAAGUCAAAAGAAGCCGGAAAGCACCUCCAGAUGGCUGGGAAUUGAUCGAACCAACACUGGAUGAAUUAGACCAAAAGAUGAGAGAAGCUGAAACAGAGCCUCAUGAGGGCAAGAGGAAAGUGGAAUCUCUGUGGCCCAUCUUCAGGAUCUACCACCAGAAAACCCGCUAUAUCUUUGACCUCUUUUAUAAACGGAAAGCCAUAAGCAGAGAACUAUAUGAAUGUUGUAUUAAAGAAGGGUAUGCAGACAAAAACCUGAUUGCAAAAUGGAAAAAGCAAGGGUAUGAGAACUUGUGCUGCCUGUGGUGCAUUCAGACACGGGAUACCAAUUUUGGAACAAACUGCAUUUGCCGGGUCCCCAAAAGCAAGCUGGAAGUGGGCCGCAUCAUCGAGUGCACGCACUGUGGCUGCCGGGGCUGCUCUGGCUGAGGCCCGCAACCCCUCUCCGCCCAGGACCUUGGACUUGGCAGUUGCUGUCUGCUGCGCCACCCCCUCUCCUGGGAGCAGCUCUUCCUACAGAGCAGUGACCCAGGCCCAAGUUGGAACAUGAUCUCUACGGGUGAAGGCUUUGCUGUCUAUCAGCUGUGAUUUGUAAAAAUAAAACUUUCAAACUUCAAAAAAAAAAAAAAAG